GCCAGACUCCUACGGGAGGCAGCAGUGGGGAAUAUUGCACAAUGGGGGAAACCCUGAUGCAGCGACGCCGCGUGAGUGAAGAAGUAUUUCGGUAUGUAAAGCUCUAUCAGCAGGAACGAGACAAGACGGUACCUGACUAAGAAGCCCCGGCUAACUACGUGCCAGCAGCCGCGGUAAUACGUAGGGGGCAAGCGUUAUCCGGAAUCACUGGGUGUAAAGGGAGCGUAGACGGCUGUGCAAGCCUGAAGUGAAAGGCGGGGGCCCAACCCCUGGACUGCUUUGGGAACUGUACGGCUGGAGUGCAGGAGAGGUAAGUGGAAUUCCUAGUGUAGCGGUGAAAUGCGUAGAUAUUAGGAGGAACACCAGUGGCGAAGGCGGCUUACUGGACUGUAACUGACGUUGAGGCUCGAAAGCGUGGGGAGCAAACAGGAUUAGAUACCCUUGUAU
rnacentral:rRNA from 1 species